AUUGAACGCUGGCGGCAUGCUUUACACAUGCAAGUCGAACGGGCUUGGGGGCUUGCUCCCAAGUUAGUGGCGAACGGGUGAGUAAUACAUCGGAACGUACCGUGUAGUGGGGGAUAACGUAGCGAAAGUUACGCUAAUACCGCAUACGAUCUACGGAUGAAAGCAGGGGACCUUCGGGCCUUGUGCUAUCCGAGCGGCCGAUGUCUGAUUAGCUAGUUGGUGAGGUAAAGGCUCACGAAGGCGACGAUCAGUAGCGGUUCUGAGAGGAUGAUCCGCCGCACUGGGACUGAGACACGGCCCAGACUCCUACGGGAGGCAGCAGUGGGGAAUUUUGGACAAUGGGCGAAAGCCUGAUCCAGCCAUGCCGCGUGUCUGAAGAAGGCCUUCGGGUUGUAAAGGACUUUUGUCAGGGAGCAAAACUUACUGGUUAAUACCCGGUGAGGCUGAGAGUACCUGAAGAAUAAGCACCGGCUAACUACGUGCCAGCCGCCGCCGUAAGAC
rnacentral:rRNA from 1 species